rnacentral:rRNA from 1 species
CCUACGGGAGGCAGCAGUGGGGAAUAUUGCACAAUGGGGGAAACCCUGAUGCAGCGACGCCGCGUGAGUGAAGAAGUAACUCGGUAUGUAAAGCUCUAUCAGCAGGGAAGAAAAUGACGGUACCUGAGUAAGAAGCCCCGGCUAACUACGUGCCAGCAGCCGCGGUAAUACGUAGGGGGCAAGCGUUAUCCGGAUUUACUGGGUGUAAAGGGAGCGUAGACGGCAGUGCAAGUCUGGAGUGAAAGGCGGGGGCUCAACCCCCGGACUGCUCUGGAAACUGUACGGCUGGAGUGCAGGAGAGGUAAGUGGAAUUCCUGGUGUAGCGGGGAAAUGCGUAGAUAUUAGGAGGAACACCAGUGGCGAAGGCGGCUUACUGGACUGUAACUGACGUUGAGGCUCGAAAGCGUGGGGAGCAAACAGGAUUAGAUACCCUUGUAGUC